rnacentral:rRNA from 1 species
AGGAGAGUUUGAUCCUGGCUCAGGAUGAACGCUAGCGGCAGGCUUAACACAUGCAAGUCGUGGGGCAGCGCGUUGUAGCAAUACAGUGGCGGCGACCGGCGGAAGGGUGCGUAACACGUGAGCAACUUGCCCGUAACAGGGGGAUAAGCGCUGGAAACGGCGUCUAAUAUCCCAUAACAUAUUUCACCGCAUGAUGGAAUAUUGAAAACUCCGGUGGUUACGGAUGGGCUCGCGGGACAUUAGCUAGUCGGCGGGGUAACGGCCCACCGAGGCGACGAUGUCUAGGGGUUCUGAGAGGAAGAUCCCCCACACUGGGACUGAGACACGGCCCAGACUCCUACGGGAGGCAGCAGUGAGGAAUAUUGGACAAUGGGGGCAACCCUGAUCCAGCCAUGCCGCGUGCGGGACUAAGGCCCUAUGGGUCGUAAACCGCUUUUGUUGGGGAGCAAUAAGGUCUACGCGUAGACUGAUGAGAGUACCCAGCGAAUAAGCAUCGGCUAACUCCGUGCCAGCAGCCGCGGUAAUACGGAGGAUGCGAGCGUUAUCCGGAUUUAUUGGGUUUAAAGGGUGCGUAGGCGGAAUGGUAAGUCAGUGGUGAAAUACCAGCGCUCAACGUGGGCCGUGCCAUUGAUACUGUCAUUCUGGAGUCCUGUUGCCGUGGGAGGAAUGAGUAGUGUAGCGGUGAAAUGCAUAGAUAUUACUCAGAACACCGAUUGCGAAGGCAUCUCACGAAGCAGGAACUGACGCUGAGGCACGAAAGCGUGGGGAUCGAACAGGAUUAGAUACCCUGGUAGUCCCCU